rnacentral:lncRNA from 1 species
AUGCCUCUCGCAAAGGAUCUCCUCCAUCCCUCUCCAGAAGAGGAGAGGAGGAAACACAAGAAAAAGUGCCUGGUGCAGAGCCCCAGUUCCUACUUUAUGGACAUGAAAUGCCCAGGAUGCUAUAAAAUCACCACGGUUUUCAGCCAUGCACAAACGGUAGUCUUGUGUGUUGGCUGCUCCACUGUCCUCUGUCAGCCUACAGGUGGGAAAGCAAGGCUGACAGAAGGACACUCCUUCAGGAGGAAGCAGCAC